rnacentral:rRNA from 1 species
UUUGAAGUAAAAGUCGUAACAAGGUUUCCGUAGGUGAACCUGCGGAAGGAUCAUUAACAAUCUUACAAUCACAACGCGUGGCAUGCACCCACUGAAUAUCGCAAGACUUCAGUUGGGCUGGAUGUCCAUGGCGUGCCGAUUAAAUCCACUCUGUGAAACUCCCACUGUUGCUUCCAUGCGUAUCUAACCCUUGCGGUUGGCGCGUGGGACUACAACCUAACACCGUGUUCUGUUGUUCUAGUCUGAGUGGUAACUCACAAAUAUAACAAGUUAAAACUUUCAACAACGGAUCUCUUGGUUCUCGCAUCGAUGAAGAACGCAGCGAAAUGCGAUAAGUAGUGUGAAUUGCAGAAUUCAGUGAAUCAUCGAAUCUUUGAACGCACAUUGCGCCUCCUGGUAUUCCGGGAGGGCAUGCCUGUUCGAGCGUCAUGAAAAGCAUCCUCAAGCAAAUUUGCUUGGUCGUGGAAGAAGAUGGCUUCCAUCUCUUCUGGAAACUCUCAGCAGAAGGCCUUGCAACCUCCGGUGUGAUAAAACCUAUUCACUUGAUGGUUACAAAGUGUUCUGGCUGUACAGAAAGCCCCCCCAGCAUUUCUACAUGUUGACCUCG